rnacentral:lncRNA from 1 species
CCUAUUUAAAUCCAGUCCCCCAAAUUGCUUUCUCCCGUGCACUUCUCUCUCUCUCUCUCUCUCUCUCUCUGCCCCCUCAUUUCUCAAACUUGAAACACUCUUCUCUCAUUUCUGCCUGCAUCUUCUCCUUAUUCUUUACCCUCAUUAGAAGAAAAUAAAGAACAACUUGAUUUCAGUAUACAUAAGAGUAAUGUCGAGCAGACGGUCGAGAACGAGGAGUUCAGG